rnacentral:rRNA from 1 species
UACGGGGGGAGCAAGCGUUGUUCGGAUUUACUGGGCGUAAAGGGCGCGUAGGCGGCCAGCACAAGUCAGUUGUGAAAUCUCCGAGCUUAACUCGGAAAGGUCAACUGAUACUGUGCGGCUAGAGUGCGGAAGGGGCAACUGGAAUUCUUGGUGUAGCGGUGAAAUGCGUAGAUAUCAAGAGGAACACCUGCGGCGAAGGCGGGUUGCUGGGCCGACACUGACGCUGAGGCGCGAAAGCUAGGGGGAGCGAACGGG